rnacentral:lncRNA from 12 species
CAAAAAUCCCACAAGAGCAAACUGGCCUGGGAGAAAACUAGAAGGCAUCCAAUACAUGAAUCUUCUUGGAAUGUGAGUCAUCUAAUAAAAAGAAACCAACCAAAUAAAAAAGGACAGAAAACUACUGCUUCACUACUUCAAAUAGUUGAAUAGUCU